GCCUGGGUGGCUCAGUCAGUUAAGCAUUCGAUUUGGGUUCGGGUCAUGAUCUCACAGUUUGUGGGUUCAAGCCCCAUGUCAGGCU
rnacentral:tRNA from 1 species